AUCAAGUUAAACGUUCGGUGAUUUUAUUACGGUGGUUGCGAUUUUUACAAUCACCGGGUAGAAAUCAUCUCAUGUUUAACCAAAU